rnacentral:rRNA from 1 species
ACAUGCCUACAACAUAGCGUUAAUGCACCAGAUCCCAUUUGAACUCUGCAGUUAAGCACUCUCAGGCUAGAGUAGUACUGGAAUGGGUGACCACCUGGGAAGUGUUAGUGUUUCACAUGCC